GAUGAACGCUAGCUACAGGCUUAACACAUGCAAGUCGAGGGGCAUCGGGAAGAAAGCUUGCUUUCUUUGCCGGCGACCGGCGCACGGGUGAGUAACACGUAUCCAACCUGCCCUUUACUCGGGGAUAGCCUUUCGAAAGAAAGAUUAAUACCCGAUAGCAUAAUGAUUCCGCAUGGUUUCAUUAUUAAAGGAUUCCGGUAAAGGAUGGGGAUGCGUUCCAUUAGGUUGUUGGUGAGGUAACGGCUCACCAAGCCUUCGAUGGAUAGGGGUUCUGAGAGGAACGGCCCCCACAUUGGAACUGAGACACGGUCCAA
rnacentral:rRNA from 1 species